GAUGAACGCUAGCGAUAGGCUUAACACAUGCAAGUCGAGGGGCAGCAUGGUCUUAGCUUGCUAAGACUGAUGGCGACCGGCGCACGGGUGCGUAAUGCGUAUGCAACUUGCCUCACAGAGGGGGAUAACCCGUCGAAAGACGGACUAAUACCGCGUACACUCCCUCUUGUGCAUCCAAGGUAGAGGAAAUGAAAUUCGCUGUGAGAUAGGCAUGCGUCCCAUUAGCUCGUUGGUGAGGUAACGGCUCACCAAGGCGACGAUGGGUAGGGGAACUGAGAGGUUGAACCCCCACACUGGUACUGAGACACGGACCAGACUCCUACGGGAGGCAGCAGUGAGGAAUAUUGGUCAAUGGGCGAGAGCCUGAACCAGCCAAGUCGCGUGAAGGAUGACUGUCUUAUGGAUUGUAAACUUCUUUUAUACGGGAAUAACAAGAGUCACGUGUGACUCCCUGCAUGUACCGUAUGAAUAAGCAUCGGCUAACUCCGUG
rnacentral:rRNA from 1 species